rnacentral:rRNA from 1 species
GACGAACGCUGGCGGCGCGCCUAACACAUGCAGGUCGAACGAGCGAGAGAGAGCUUGCUUUCUCGAGCGAGUGGCGAACGGGUGAGUAACGCGUGAGGAACCUGCCUCAAAGAGGGGGACAACAGUUGGAAACGACUGCUAAUACCGCAUAAGCCCACGGCUCGGCAUCGAGCAGGGGGAAAAGGAGCAAUCCGCUUUGAGAUGGCCUCGCGUCCGAUUAGCUAGUUGGUGAGGUAACGGCCCACCAAGGCGACGAUCGGUAGCCGGACUGAGAGGUUGAACGGCCACAUUGGGACUGAGACACGGCCCAGACUCCUACGGGAGGCAGCAGUGGGGAAUAUUGCACAAUGGGGGAAACCCUGAUGCAGCGACGCCGCGUGGAGGAAGAAGGUCUUCGGAUUGUAAACUCCUGUUGUUGGGGAAGAUAAUGACGGUACCCAACAAGGAAGUGACGGCUAACUACGUG